rnacentral:lncRNA from 1 species
AGCUUGUCCAGGUAACAUCACCACCACUCCAGGGUUGGUCAACAAUGGACAUCACCUCUACCUCUGGUGUCUGCCUUUCUGCCUUCCUUUGACAUCUACUGAUUAACUGAUCUCCUGAAUCUCGGAGGACUCUCUGCCUUUUGAAUCUGACCCAGGCAUGCAAGAAAUCAUUCGUCCUUCAGCAAGAGGAGAGGGCCUCUAGUGCUGGUCUGUCUACUGAAAUGCUGCCCGGCUGAAGACUAGGAGGGAGCAGGGCAUGUCUGUGGGUUUUGCCUUUCAUGGGGUCUUGAAUGACCAGAGAGAGACUGGAUGUGGCACUCUCUCAGGCUCCAGGGGGAAAUUUGAGAUAUUUCCCCUCUUUUCUCCCUCUACAACUCCUCACUUUUUUCUUUUUACAUUCUUCCUUUACUGCUCUAUUCACAAUGCUUGUCUGUCAACAAGCUGCUGUAGCUACAAAGACCCUGGCUACUUUCCUCUGAUGCGCCUACCUAGACCUUAUAAUUGUUGUCUUACCAGACAAGUUUAGAUCUAGCUACUCUGUCUAAUACUGUCUGGUAAUGCCGUCCAUUACAAGGUGUCUCAUCGCUCUUCUUCUGUCAGUUUCUUGGACAAUCUGUACAAAUAAACUGGUAUCAGGUCAUUUGAUGUCUUUUUCCCUCAAUGAUGUUUUCCAUAACUGGCUUGUAAGGUUUAAUUGCAGGUCAAAUAAAAAUUGUGUUGAAUUAUGUCAUUGUAUGCAAUAUCCCUAGUCAAAAAAAUGCUAUAGGAUUCCCCCCCCCCCAAAAUAUCCAAUUGCAAUUCCAAAGAAAUUUCAAUCAGAUUUUGGAAGCUAUCCUAUAGGACUUUAUCCCAUGGUAUAUUGCCUAGUACCUAGGACAGAAUCCUAUAGGAGUCCAAUAGGACUGGUUCCAAAAUCUGAUAGGAUUUUCUUUUGGCUUCUAUUAUUGACUAGGGUAACUUGUUAUUUAAAAAAAAAAAUUGUACAGGACAGAUGUAAGUACAGAUAUGGAGACAGAUAUAGAGAGGGGUAAAGUGGUUAAGGGCACAGACAUUCGGCCAAGCCAGGGCUCAAAUCCCCGUCUAGGAGGGGGCAUAUGUGGUCCGGAUUUGGGGGCUUAGACCGCUACACCAGACUCCAGCACACUGAUAAAAAUGUUCUAUUAGAUUCUUGUGUAUAUAAAAUCCUAUUCAAUAGAAUCCUAUAUUAGUCCAAUAGGACUGGUUCCAAAAUCUGAUAGGAUUUUCAUAUUGGCCUCUAAUUAGAUCCUUGUAUUGGAAUCCUAUCGGAUUAAACACUAUACGCUAUAGUUAACUUGGCUGCUUAACACAUGGAGCACCCGUGGGCAGUGGACACGUCAACUAUAACAUCAUAAGCAAACAAUAUUGAACUGCCUCCUUUUCCACUUGAGAUGCCGACCCUAUAGUGGAGAACCGCCGGCAAUGUCGAGAUAGGGAAAAUGGGGAGGGAGCACCUUCUAAGGAUGGAGGGAGGGUAGAGGUGACAGCUCUGGGGGAAAGGAGGCAGGGG